UGACGAAGGGGGCUAGCGUUGCUCGGGAAUGAAGCUGGGCGUAAAGGGCGCGUAGGCGCCUGCACAGUCAGGCGUGGAAAUUCCUGGGCCUCGAACCUGGGGACUGCGCUUGAGACGUGUGGGCUUGAGUGGGGAAGAGGGUCGUGGAAUUCCCAGUGUAGAGGUGAAAUUCGUAGAUAUUGGGAAGAACACCGGUGGCGAAGGCGGCGACCUGGUCCUUGACUGACGCUGAGGCGCGAAAGCGUGGGGAGCAAACAGG
rnacentral:rRNA from 1 species